rnacentral:rRNA from 1 species
GACGAACGCUGGCGGCAAGCUUAACACAUGCAAGUCGAACGCCGUAGCAAUACGGAGUGGCAGACGGGUGAGUAACACGUGGGAACGUGCCUUUCGGUUCGGAACAACUGAGGGAAACUUCAGCUAAAACCGGAUACGCCCUUCGGGGGAAAGUUUACGCCGAAAGAUCGGCCCGCGUCAGAUUAGGUAGUUGGCGGGGUAAUGGCCCACCAAGCCGAUGAUCUGUAGCUGUUCUGAGAGGAAGAUCAGCCACACUGGGACUGAGACACGGCCCAGACUCCUACGGGAGGCAGCAGUGGGGAAUAUUGGACAAUGGGCGCAAGCCUGAUCCAGCUAUGCCGCGUGGAUGAAGAAGGCCUUCGGGUUGUAAAGUCCUUUCGGCGGGGAAGAUAAUGACGGUACCCGCCGAAGAAGCCCCGGCUAAUUUCGUGCCAGCCGCCGCCGUAAUAC